rnacentral:rRNA from 1 species
CCUACGGGAGGCAGCAGUGGGGAAUAUUGCGCAAUGGGCGAAAGCCUGACGCAGCGACGCCGCGUGAGGGAUGAAGGUCUUCGGAUCGUAAACCUCUGUCAGCAGGGAAGAACGGUCACUGUGCUAAUCAGCAGUGAAUUGACGGUACCUGCAAAGGAAGCACCGGCUAACUCCGUGCCAGAGGCCGCGGUAAUACGGAGGGUGCGAGCGUUAAUCGGAAUGACUGGGCGUAAAGCGCUCGUAGGCGGUAUGUCAAGUCAAGGGUGAAAUCCCCGCGCUCAACGUGGGAACUGCCUUUGAAAAUGGCAAACUGGAGUGUGUGAGAGGAAAGUGGAAUUCCAGGUGUAGGAGUGAAAUCCGUAGAUAUCUGGAGGAACAUCAGUGGCGAAGGCGACUAUCUGGCACAUAACUGACGCUGAGGCGCGAAAGCGUGGGGAGCAAACAGGAUUAGAUACCCGUGUAGUC